CCUACGGGCGGCAGCAGUGGGGGAUAUUGCACAAUGGGGGGAACCCUGAUGCAGCGACGCCGCGUGGGUGAAGGAGUAUUUCGGUAUGUAAAGCCCUAUCGGCAGGGAAGAAAUUGGACGGUAUCUGACUAAGAAGCCCCGGCUAACCACGUGCCAGCAGCCGCGGUAAUACGUAGGGGGCAAGCGUUAUCCGGAGUCACUGGGUGUAAAGGGAGCGUAGACGGCCAUGCAAGCCAGGGGUGAAAGCCCGGGGCCCACCCCCGGGACUGCCCUUGGAACUGCAUGGCUGGAGUGCGGGAGGGGCAGGCAGAAUUCCUGGUGUAGCGGUGAAAUGCGUAGAUAUCAGGAGGAACACCGGCGGCGAAGGCGGCCUGCUGGACCGCGACUGACGUUGAGGCUCGAAAGCGUGGGGAGCGAACAGGAUUAGAUACCCUGGUAGUC
rnacentral:rRNA from 1 species